UACGGGGGGAGCAAGCGUUGUUCGGAUUUACUGGGCGUAAAGGGCGCGUAGGCGGUCAGCACAAGUCGGUUGUGAAAUCUCCGAGCUUAACUCGGAAAGGUCAACCGAAACUGUGCGACUAGAGUGCAGAAGGGGCAACUGGAAUUCUUGGUGUAGCGGUGAAAUGCGUAGAUAUCGAGAGGAACACCUGCGGCGAAGGCGGGUUGCUGGGCUGACACUGACGCUGAUGUGCGAAAGCUAGGGGAGCGAACGGG
rnacentral:rRNA from 1 species